rnacentral:rRNA from 1 species
GCGACCCCAGGAUGGGCGAGGCCACCCGCUAUUUUAAAAC